GGCAUUAACGUUGAUCUAAACGUUUAGGAACCUAUUCUAAACGUGUUCUGAAUAUUUAAUUUGCGUUGAAAAGCUAAAUCAAACGAUUUCCGUACGGAAUAAAUUAGUUUCGCACAAAAUGUGUCGGACAUUUUGAAUCUUUCAUUAUGAUAAAAAAUUAGAAUUUCUUAUGAAUCUUAAAUUAUGUAAUAAAUGGUUUAGAAAAGAUAAAAGAAAUUUGUUUCUAGUAUUAUACUGUGGCUAAUGAGGCAGCUAAAAAGUCCUUCCAGUCAGUUGCAACAACAAUUAAAGCAGCAGGAAACAACCAAGUACACAUGCAAGUGACAAUGAGGAUUGCAAAAGUUUUAAAUAUCAGAAACUGAAGAAGGAAUUGAUAAUUAGCAGAACAAAAAAGCGCAAAAGUACUGAUUAUACAACUCUUUUAAAGUUGAGGAAGAAUUUUAUGUGGAAUGUUAAUGCAAAAGGUACAAAUAUUGACAGUUAAACCAUCACCACCUCCACAGCCACCUUAUCUCAAGCAUUCAAUUGCAUUCUAAGUUAUCUUUAUUCAAAUCAAGUGUGACUACUAUACCAAAAGACUGUAGAAUGGACCAAUCAACUAACCCAUCAGUACUUGCAAAGUCUUUUUUUCUGUAAGCCCGAAAUUUGAGUUCUAAAAUACCAUUAUCCACAUAACUACUAUAUCAAAGCACUAACUAAUGGAUUGAUCAAAAAAGAGAUUGUAUGACUUCGGUAUCCGCAAUACGGUAUCGUGCAUUGAUUCCCAUCUUAGAAUGGCUCUCUUCCGUAUAGGUGGAAAUAGGAAAGGUUAUGUCUUUUUUUCCAAUUCUUAAAACGAAGAGGCUUAAUCGGUUCAAACAAAGAUGACGAUGAUCAUUAUGGAGCCGAUCAUAAUGAGGAAUACGAUAAUGCAUAUAAUAAUAAAUAAAAUGAUUUUACUUGUAUCUUAAACUUAUUUAAAUAAAAAAUUAUUUGUUUAA